UACGAGGGGAGCUAGCGUUGUUCGGAAUUACUGGGCGUAAAGGGCGCGUAGGCGGUCCCAUAAGUCAGAUGUGAAAGCCCCGGGCUUAACCUGGGAGGUGCAUUUGAGACUGUGGAACUAGAGAUCGAGAGAGGAAAGUGGAAUUACGAGUGUAGAGGUGAAAUUCGUAGAUAUUCGUAAGAACACCAGUGGCGAAGGCGACUUUCUGGCUCGAUACUGACGCUAAGGCGCGAAAGCGUGGGGAGCAAACAGG
rnacentral:rRNA from 1 species